AUUGAACGCUGGCGGCAUGCCUUACACAUGCAAGUCGAACGGCAGCACGGGUGCUUGCACCUGGUGGCGAGUGGCGAACGGGUGAGUAAUACAUCGGAACAUGUCCUGUAGUGGGGGAUAGCCCGGCGAAAGCCGGAUUAAUACCGCAUACGAUCUACGGAUGAAAGCGGGGGACCUUCGGGCCUCGCGCUAUAGGGUUGGCCGAUGGCUGAUUAGCUAGUUGGUGGGGUAAAGGCCUACCAAGGCGACGAUCAGUAGCUGGUCUGAGAGGACGACCAGCCACACUGGGACUGAGACACGGCCCAGACUCCUACGGGAGGCAGCAGUGGGGAAUUUUGGACAAUGGGCGAAAGCCUGAUCCAGCAAUGCCGCGUGUGUGAAGAAGGCCUUCGGGUUGUAAAGCACUUUUGUCCGGAAAGAAAUCCUUGGCUCUAAUACAGUCGGGGGAUGACGGUACCGGAAGAAUAAGCACCGGCUAACUACGUGCCAGCAGCCGCGGUAAUACGUAGGGUGCGAGCGUUAAUCGGAAUUACUGGGCGUAAAGCGUGCGCAGGCGGUUUGCUAAGACCGAUGUGAAAUCCCCGGGCUCAACCUGGGAACUGCAUUGGUGACUGGCAGGCUAGAGUAUGGCAGAGGGGGGUAGAAUUCCACGUGUAGCAGUGAAAUGCGUAGAGAUGUGGAGGAAUCCCGAUGGCGAAGGCAGCCCCCUGGGCCAAUACUGACGCUCAUGCACGAAAGCGUGNGGAGCAAACAGG
rnacentral:rRNA from 1 species